GUAGGUGGCAAGCGUUGUCCGGGAAUUAUUGGGGCGUAAAGCGCGCGCAGGCGGUUCUUUAAGUCUGAUGUGAAAGCCCACGGGCUCAACCGUGGAGGGUCAUUGGAAACUGGAGAACUUGAGUACAGAAGAGGAAAGCGGAAUUCCACGUGUAGCGGUGAAAUGCGUAGAGAUGUGGAGGAACACCAGUGGCGAAGGCGGCUUUCUGGUCUGUAACUGACGCUGAGGCGCGAAAGCGUGGGGAGCAAACAGGAUUAGAUACCCUGGUAGUCCACGCCGUAAACGAUGAGUGCUAAGUGUUAGGGGGUUUCCGCCCCUUGGUGCUGCAGCUAACGCAUUAAGCACUCCGCCUGGGGAGUACGGCCGCAAAGGCUG
rnacentral:rRNA from 1 species